CAAAUAAUUAUUGAUCAUCUACUCAGGAUCUUCACGUGUGAACAAAUAGACCAUCCCCGCAUCCACCCCUCCCCCCAUGGAGUUUGGAAGAAGAGAGGCAAGGCAACAGACAAUAAACAUGCAACUCUGGGACUGUAGUCUUGCCUGUCUUGGCUGCAGUGUCCCAGCCCCUACAACAGCGCCUGGCACACAAGUGGGUGUUUUCAGCUCAGUUUUACAGAACAGGAAACAUUCAGGAGCUGUUCAGCUUACAGCUGGAAGAAUGAAGCAAACUUAAAAGUCGGCAAACUGAAGAAGAUGAUGUAAAGAAAGGGAAAAUAGCUACUCUGGAACUGUACAGAAAUUCACCCCUCACAGAGGGUGAAGCCCGCCCUGCCUGUCCAGCAGUGGCAGAUGGCGACAGGAUGUCUGCUCCUGGCCCAGGAGGGAGAGAGAGGAAGCAGUGGUCAGUAGUCAAGUCAGGAGCCUGUAGAAAAGUGUUAGUCCAGCACGGGACCCUCAUUCCCUCAACCUGUAUUCCUGGGACUCCAGGAUUUCAUGGAUCUCACUUUGAGAAACAGAUUUUUAAGCCUAAAGUUUUAUCCAUUAAAAAAACCACAAAGUCUUCCGAUUUCAAAGUAUUACUGCCAAAGAGUUUUGUCUGUAAAACUGAUGAACAAAUUUAGCAUGAAUACAAGAACAGAGAUGAGGUGAUUGUCGUCGAUUCAUUCAUUCAUCAGAUAUUUAUUAAGCACCUACUGUGUGUCAGGCAGUGCUCUUAAGUGCGUAGGAGACAUCAGUGAACAAAACAAACACUAAUCUCUGCUCUUGUGGGCAUGCAUUCUAAUAGGGCAAGUCAGACACUGAACAACAAACAUUAUAAAUAAGUGAAUCAUAUAUAUGUUCAGAAACCGGGGUUAAAGGUGACACGGAGAAUGAUGGAGGCGGGGUGGGGAGUUGCAAUUUUCAAUAGGAUUGAGAAAUUUAAUCACUUAAGCAAACACUUCAGCAGAGACCUGAAGGAGAUGAGGGAGCUGCUAUUCAUGCAGAAAUCUGGAGCAAGACUCUUCUGGGCAGUGGGAUCAGCCAGUUCAAAGGCCCUUAAGGGAGCAUGUCUAGAGGAAGGGGGCUGGUGGGGCAAGCAGGAAAGCUGCAUGAAGUGAAGCCAAAGAGGUACCAGGAGCCAAAACCUGAACUCCUCCCGCCUACCUCCCGCCCACUGUCAGCCCAGGAAGGACUCAGCCUUUCCCUCUGAGCUGGAUGGAAGCCAAGUCAACCUAAUGGCUGCCAAAUGUGCUUGACAACACAUCAAAGAGUUAAAUGCUGCCCUUUUAGAUGGUCACUCAAUGAUGACUGUUACCACAGAUUUGAAUAAGGGGACUGAAAUCAUGUAGCAGCCCUCUGUUAUAAGGGCGUCAGCCAGACCAUCCAGAUUAUUAAUAUAUUUUUAACAUUAUCAUAACAUUAAACAAGCAUCUCCGAGGGUGCUCAGACCUUCAGGGUUGCUUAAGUGAAACCUCAGGGGUACAUGGACCUGUGUUUCAAAAACUCCUGGCACACAUGCUAUAGAUCUGACAGAGGACCAAAUGGAUCAUGGCAGACCCACAGACCACCACACAGAUAUGCUGCUGCAUGAAAACCAGAAAUGUAAGUCGGGCACUUUGAGAUCCUGCUCUGGAAACUCAAAGCAUUGAGGAUGCUUCCAUCAACAGAUGGCUGUGGCUUUAGAAGCAAAGAGAAAUGCUGAGAAAUGCUAAGAAAGAAAAUUGCCAUCCUGUACUGUGGUGGAUUCUAUUCAAGCAAUGGCCUUCCCUGAAAGGGAGGGUGUCAUCUUACACAACCCAGGGAAAAUGGGUUUGUCAACUGUCCCAACCACACCUUCAAGGUUCAUAUGACUGACAACACAAGGAGAAAGAGAGAAACACCAGGCAAUGUCGAAUAGUAAUACAGAGGUCACGGCUUUGAAAAAUCAGCAGUGAUAAAGGAAACCCUCAAUAAUCUUUAGUAGAAUAUUCUAGGGAGAAGAGUCAGGAACAAUACUGAAGGCAGCAUGCCUUAAAGUUUGAUCCAGGAACCACAUAUCAAGAUCACCUGGGGUUAAGGAGUCCUUGUGAAAAAUAGCCUCCUGGACUCAGUGCAGACCCUGUGAAUCUCUCAUUGUGGGACCCAGGAACCUGCAUUUUAUAGUUUGUUAUAAGAAUCUUAUGCACACUGAAGUUUUAUAACUUCUGCCCUGUAGCCUCCAAUGUAUAUACUCCAAGAACAUAGUCUGAGUAAUAAACUAAGAGGAUGGGAAGUUCUACCAAGAGAUAUAGGUCUUAUAGGUAUCACUGAUGCUUGGAAGGAUGGGACUAAGUGGCAGAGCAUCAACUUCUUAGAGGAAGUGCACAUAUAAAGGGGUUGAUGGGGAGGGGGAGAAGAGAUGGAUAGAGGGCAUCCCCGACAGGCAAAUAGGGAUCCCUAAUAGAGAGCUGUCAGGCUCUCUGCUCUUGACCUUGGAUCUCUGACUCCAACCAUCUGACUAUGCACUCCUGGGGUCAGGAGCAAGUGAACAAUGUGACUGGAGAGGAGGUGGUAAUGGUGCAGUCAUAAUGGUGGUGAUGUUUGCUAAGAGGAGUAGACCUUAAAAUAAACACAUUGAGGUGUGUAGUGUACACACAAGACU